rnacentral:rRNA from 1 species
CCAAUAGCGUAUAUUAAAGUUGUUGCAGUUAAAAAGCUCGAAGUUGAAUUUCGGGAUCAAGGAAUCGGUCAUGCCUUGGUAUGUACUGGUUUUAUUGGUUCUCACCUUCUAAAGAACCAUAAUGUCAUUUAUUUGAUGUUAUGGGGAAUUAGGACUGUUACCUUGAAAAAAUUAGAGUGUUAAAAGCAAGCUUACGCGUGAAUACAUUAGCAUGGGAUAAUGAAAUAGGACAUCAGAUUCUAUUUUGUUGGUUUCUAGGAUCGAUGUAAUGAUUAAUAGGGAUAGUUGGGGGCAUUAGUAUUCAAUUGUCAGAGGUGAAAUUCUUGGAUUUAUUGAAGACUAACUACCGCGAAAGCAUUUGCCAAGGAUGUUUUCAUUAAUCAAGAACGAAAGUUAGGGGAUCGAAGACGAUCAGAUACCGUCGUAGUCUUAACCGUAAACUAUGCCGACUAGGGAUCGGAUGAUGUUAAUUUUUUAAUGACUCAUUCGGCACCUUACG